UACAGAGGGUGCGAGCGUUGUUCGGAAUUAUUGGGCGUAAAGGGCGCGUAGGCGGUGCCACAAGUCACUUGUGAAAUCCCCGGGCUUAACUCGGGGCCUGCAGGCGAAACUGUGGUGCUGGAGUAUGGGAGAGGUGAGUGGAAUUCCGGAGUGAUAGAGGUGAAAUUCGUAGAUAUUCGGAAGAACACCAGUGGCGAAGGCGACUCACUGGACACGUAUUGACGCUGAGGUGACGAAAGCGUGGGGAGCAAACAGG
rnacentral:rRNA from 1 species